AUCCAUCUGACGAGUCCCAAAUAGGACGAGAUGCGCAUCCUAGAU
rnacentral:hammerhead_ribozyme from 1 species